rnacentral:rRNA from 1 species
AACGAACGCUGGCGGCAUGCCUAACACAUGCAAGUCGAACGUGAUCCGGGGCUUGCUCCGGUGAAAGUGGCGGACGGGUGAGUAACGCGUGGGAACCUGCCCAGUGGUCGGGGAUAACUGCGGGAAACUGCAGCUAAUACCCGGUAAGCCCUCGAGCUUUGGCUUGGGGGGAAAGAUUCAUCGCCAUUGGAGGGGCCCGCGUCGGAUUAGGUAGUUGGUGGGGUAAAGGCCUACCAAGCCUUCGAUCCGAGCUGGUCUGAGAGGAUGAUCAGCC